CGUAGCCGCGGUAAUACGGAGGGAGCUAGCGUUGUUCGGAAUUACUGGGCGUAAAGCGCGCGUAGGCGGUUACUCAAGUCAGAGGUGAAAGCCCGGGGCUCAACCCCGGAACUGCCUUUGAAACUAGGUGACUAGAAUCUUGGAGAGGUCAGUGGAAUUCCGAGUGUAGAGGUGAAAUUCGUAGAUAUUCGGAAGAACACCAGUGGCGAAGGCGACUGACUGGACAAGUAUUGACGCUGAGGUGCGAAAGCGUGGGGAGCAAACAGGAUUAGAUACCCCCGUAGUCCCUGUCUCUUAUACA
rnacentral:rRNA from 1 species